rnacentral:tRNA from 1 species
AGGCGGUAUGGCCAAGUGGUAAGGCAGAGGAUUGCAAAUCCUUUACCCCCAGUUCGAAUCUGGUGCCGCCUAC